rnacentral:rRNA from 1 species
UAAGGAAUCUUCCACAAUGGGCGAAAGCCUGAUGGAGCAACGCCGCGUGCAGGAUGAAGGCCCUCGGGUCGUAAACUGCUUUUAUGAGUGAAGAAUAUGACGGUAACUCAUGAAUAAGGGUCGGCUAACUACGUGCCAGCAGCCGCGGUCAUACGUAGGACCCAAGCGUUAUCCGGAGUGACUGGGCGUAAAGAGUUGCGUAGGUGGCUUGUAAAGUGAAUAGUGAAAUCUGGGGGCUCAACCUCACAGGCUAUUAUUCAAACUCACAAGCUCGAGAAUGAUAGAGGUAACUGGAAUUUCUGAAGUAGGGGUAAUAUCCGUAGAUAUCAGAAGGAACACCAAUGGCGUAGGCAGGUUACUGGAUCAUUUCUGACACUGAGGCACGAAAGCGUGGGGAGCGAAC